GGAAUACGGAUACAGCUCUCUGGCCUGCGGCUGCUGCUUGCACUCUAAGCGCAAUCAAUGAGUUACAAGCUGGAAUUCUUGGGACCCGGCAAAGAGAGCUGCAGUGUGUCGAGAGUUUCCGGCAAAGUGACCUGCAGGCUGUUAGAUUCUGCCUUGAGAGGGGAAGCCGGGAAGAAAGCUGCUAAACAACAAGACAUUCAAGAAAAGUUAAAGAUUUUAAACUAAAAAAGUUAUGAAUGGUUAUAAAUGUUCUAUAAUGUAGGAAAUUUAAUUUAAAAGUGAACUGCCCCUUUAACUGUUGGGAGUUUCCGGCAAAGAGAUUUGCAGUGUUAUAUGUAACCUGAAAAUCACUUUAUUGCAAUAUAUAUUGUUUUUACUAUUAUUUGUCAUAUGCUGGGGCAACAGGGGAAAGCACAGACAGUGUGCAGGCUGAAACUUUUUACCCCAUGCUCUCUAUCCCUAUGCUAUCUCUAUCUAUUAGCUCUUGCUCUCCCAUUUAAACAGAUUCUUCCUAAAAAAAAAAAUCACUCUAGCAGCUCUUAGAGUUAACAGCCUGCCCAGAUUCUACUGCUUGUAUGUGGCAAUAAAUUUGACUUCUGUCUAUA